rfam:Salmo salar isolate Sally breed double haploid chromosome ssa28, whole genome shotgun sequence.
UGGCUCAGUUGGUAGAGCAUGGUGUUUGAAACACCAGGGGUUGUGGGUUCGAUUCCCAU